ACAGCGAGGAGCAUUGUGGUUUAAUUCGAUGAUACGCGAGGAACUACCUGGGCUCGAACGUAAGAUGACUGUAGGUGAAAGCUUACAUCUCUUCGGAGCAUUUUACGAGGUGCUGCAUGGUUGUCGUCAGCUCGUGCCGUGAGGUGUCGGGUUAAGUCCCAUAACGAGCGCAACCCCUACCUUUAGUUGCCAUCAGGUUAAGCUGGGGACUCUAAAGGAACUGCCUACGCAAGUAGUGAGGAAGGCGGGGAUGACGUCAAAUCAGCACGGCCCUUACGUCCAGGGCUACACACGUGCUACAAUGGCCGAUACAGAGGGCAGCUACCUGGUGACAGGAUGCAAAUCUCCAAAGUCGGUCUCAGUUCGGAUCGGAGUCUGCAACCCGACUCCGUGAAGUUGGAUUCGCUAGUAAUCGCGCAUCAGCCAUGGCGCGGUGAAUACGUUCCCGGGCCUU
rnacentral:rRNA from 1 species